CUCUCCCAAAAGCUUCGUCCCUUCUCUCUCUCCAGAAACCCUAGUUCAUUCUCACCUUCAAUUCCUCCAAUCGUCCACCUCAACCGGAUCGAGGAACAGCCUGAAAAAAAUCACGAAGAGCAACAGCCUUCAGCCGAAACCACACAUUCUUGGAUCUCAGACGUUGUUCCGCCAUUGCCCGCUUCCGUCAUCAGCGCCAGUUCAUCGACGAACCACUCGCACAUCAACGCUUACCGAUUCAACACCACGCGCGUCUUCCUCUCCAACAGAUCUGGCCGCAAUACUCCCUCCGACGACUCAAUCGCUCCGGCCACCCAUCACCCCAUUUGGAUCCGCGUCUUCCUCUCCUACUCUGUGGUUUAGAGUGUUGAUUCAUAAUUUUAUUUAAUUGGAUUCAUAAUUUUGAUUCAGUGUUUUCUUUAAUUUGUAACUCUAGGUUUUGAAAGCGGUCAGACACUUUUGUCCUGUUGCUUCGGUCGAGUCACACUCAUCUACCAUCUUAGAUGUUAGAUUUCAACCAGGAACUAAUAUAUUUGCAACAGCUUCAGCUGAUACAACAGUAAAGCUAUGGGAUGCAAACAAACUAGAACCACAAAUGUCUAACAAGCAACCAGCUUAGUCAACCAAGCUGAAUCCAUUGUUGAAGAAGACUCCCAAGCUUCUCUUGAUAGUCUCCGGCCCAAUCGGAGCUCUACAACUAGUGUGGAUCCGGUAUGAGCGUGAUGGAAAUGAGUCACAGAGGUUCUUCCUUUAUGGUGGUUGGUGGCUGUAAUAAGAUGUAUUGACUGUAAAUGACUCAUUUGAAGCCCCAAAACUGAGCACUUUGGCAAUUGGUGGUUGAAUUGGGAUUUCAGAAUCUUGAUUGUGUGGAAUGUAUAAUUUAACAUAGAAUAAUUAAUGUGGACUAACUUAUGGAGAUGAGAUAAUUACAUUAUUUAAGUUAUAAUAUUUGCACUAGUUGUAAUAAAAUGAGCAUUGUUUAUUCAUGAUUUGGUUGUAGACACCUGAUGGAAUAAAGGAGUAUAGGGAGAAGAAAUUGAACAGUCCCUGGAGAGACAGACCAGUUUCAGAAUCAUUGAAACUUUUUGAAGAUAUGAGAAGU